rnacentral:rRNA from 1 species
CCUACGGGGGGCAGCAGUGAGGAAUAUUGGUCAAUGGGCGGAAGCCUGAACCAGCCAAGUCGCGUGAGGGAAUAAGGCCCUACGGGUCGUAAACCUCUUUUGCCGGGGAGCAAGGGCCGGGACGCGUCCCGGCCCGGAGAGUACCCGGAGAAAAAGCAUCGGCUAACUCCGUGCCAGCAGCCGCGGUAAUACGGAGGAUGCGAGCGUUAUCCGGAUUUUUUGGGUUUAAAGGGUGCGUAGGCGGGCUUUUAAGUCAGCGGUAAGAAUUCGGGGCUCAACCCCGUCCGGCCGUUGAAACUGGGGGG